rnacentral:rRNA from 1 species
ACUGCUCAGUAACACGUGGACAACCUGCCCUUAGGUUGGGUAUAAACCCGGGAAACUGGGUAUAAUACCCGAUAGGUCUCGAUUGCUGGAAUGCAUCGAGAUUUAAAGCUCCGGCGCCUAAGGAUGGGUCUGCGGCCUAUCAGGUAGUAGUGGGUGUAGCGUACCUACUAGCCUACGACGGGUACGGGUUGUGAGAGCAAGAGCCCGGAGAUGGAUUCUGAGACACGAAUCCAGGCCCUACGGGGUGCAGCAGGCGCGAAAACUUUACAAUGCUGGCAACAGCGAUAAGGGAACCUCGAGUGCCAGGUUACAAAUCUGGCUGUCGAGAUGCCUAAAAAGCAUUUCAUAGCAAGGGCCGGGCAAGACCGGUGCCAGCCGCCGCGGUAACACCGGCGGCUCGAGUGGUAACCGUUAUUAUUGGGUCUAAAGGGUCUGUAGCCGGCCGGAUAAGUCUCUUGAGAAAUCUGGCAGCUUAACUGUCAGGCUUUCAGGAGAUACUGUCUGGCUCGAGGCCGGGAGAGGUGAGAGGUACUUCAGGGGUAGGGGUGAAAUCUUGUAACCCUUGAAGGACCACCAGUGGCGAAGGCGUCUCACCAGAACGGACCUGACGGCAAGGGACGAAAGCUAGGGGCACGAACCGGAUUAGAUACCCGGGUAGUCCUAGCCGUAAACGAUACUCGCUAGGUGUCGGCCACGGUGCGACCGUUGUCGGUGCCGUAGGGAAGCCGUGAAGCGAGCCACCUGGGAAGUACGGCCGCAAGGCUGAAACUUAAAGGAAUUGGCGGGGGAGCAC